rnacentral:rRNA from 1 species
AUUGAACGCUGGCGGCAGGCCUAACACAUGCAAGUCGAACGAGUGGCGGACGGGUGAGUAAUAUCUGGGAAACUGCCCGAUGGAGGGGGAUAACUACUGGAAACGGUCGCUAAUACCGCAUACCAUCGGAUGUGCCCAGAUGGGAUUAGCUAGUAGGUGUGGUAACGGCUCACCUAGGCGACCAUCCCUAGCUGGUCUGAGAGGAUGACCAGCCAAACGGGGAUGUAGACUAGGUCCAGACUCCUACGGGAGGCAGCAGGUGUGAAUAUUGCACAAUGGGCGCAAGCCUGAUGCAGCCAUGCCGCGUGGAUGAAGAAGGCCUUCGGGUUGUAAAGUACUUUCAGCGAGGAGGCGUUACUCGCAGAAGAAGCAUCGGCUAACUCCGUGCCAGCAGCCGCGGUAAUAC